UACCUGCAGCUCAAGUGGUGACCGCUAUUAUUGGGCCUAAAACGUUCGUAGCCGGUUUGGUAAAUGCCUGGGUAAAUCGUGUAGCUUAACUAUACGAAUUCCGGGUAGACUGUCAAACUUGAGACCGGGAGAAGCUAGAGGUACCCCUGGGGUAGAGGUGAAGUUCUGUAAUCCUGGGGGGACCACCAGUGGCGAAGGCGUCUAGCUAGAACGGGUUUGACGGUGAGGAACGAAGCCCUGGGGCGCAAACCGGAUUAGAUACCCGGGUAGUCCAGGGUGUAAACGCUGCUUGCUUGAUGUUAGUUGGGCUCCGAGCCCAAUUAGUGUCGGAGAGAAGUUGUUAAGCAAGCUGCCUGGGAAGUACGAUCGCAAGAUUGAAACUUAAAGGAAUUGGCGGGGAGCACAGCAACGGGUGGAGCGUGCGGUUU
rnacentral:rRNA from 1 species